AAGCCGCUAGUAACAACUAUGAAGAAGUUAGAAAACUAAGACUUGAAGAGAACAAGAAGAGGUUUCAGGAUUUAGGAAUUUUGACAAUAUCGAAGAAAUUGACUGAAAUCGCAAGUCCAGCAAAGAAGUCCGCGAAUCAUCUUUACAAACCAAAAUCAAAGACUAUUGUUGUAGCGGAACCUAGGCGUUCUUCUCGUGCAAGAAACCCAGUUCCUUCGUAUCAUGAAGAG